rnacentral:rRNA from 1 species
GACGAACGCUGGCGGCGUGCUUAACACAUGCAAGUCGAACGAAGUGGCGAACGGGUGAGUAACGCGUAAUCAACCUGCCCUUCAGAGGGGGACAACAGUUGGAAACGACUGCUACUACCGCAUACUGAAGGAGGGGAUUGCGUCUGAUUAGCUAGUGGGAGGGGUAACGGCCCACCAAGGCGAAGAUCAGUAGCCGGGCUGAGAGGAGGACCGGCCAAAUUGGGAAGGAGACAAGGCCCAGACUUCUACGGGAGGCAGCAGGGGGGAAUCUUCCGAAAUGGAAGAAAGUCUGACGGAGCAACGCCGCGUGAGGGAUGACGGCCUUCGGGUUGUAAAGCUCUGUUAAUCGGGACGCGGUACCGGAAUAGAAAGCCACGGCUAACUACGUGCCAGCAGCCGCGGUAAUAC